UACAUCGGUGACAGGUGGUGCAUGGUUGUCGUCAGCUCGUGUCGUGAGAUGUUGGGUUAAGUCCCGCAACGAGCGCAACCCCUAUUGUUAGUUGCCAUCAUUCAGUUGGGCACUCUAGCGAGACUGCCGGUAAUAAACCGGAGGAAGGUGGGAUGACGUCAAAUCAUCAUGCCCCUUAUGACCUGGGCUACACACGUGCUACAAUGGUUGGUACAACGAGUUGCGAGUCGGUGACGGCGAGCUAAUCUCUUAAAGCCAAUCUCAGUUCGGAUUGUAGGCUGCAACUCGCCUACCAUGAAGUCGGAAUCGCUAGUAAUCGCGGAUCAGCACGCCGCGGUGAAUACGUUCCCGGGCCUU
rnacentral:rRNA from 1 species